UAAUACGGAGGGUGCAAGCGUUAAUCGGAAUUACUGGGCGUAAAGCGCACGCAGGCGGUUUGUUAAGUCAGAUGUGAAAUCCCCGGGCUCAACCUGGGAACUGCAUUUGAAACUGGCAAGCUAGAGUCUCGUAGAGGGGGGUAGAAUUCCAGGUGUAGCGGUGAAAUGCGUAGAGAUCUGGAGGAAUACCGGUGGCGAAGGCGGCCCCCUGGACGAAGACUGACGCUCAGGUGCGAAAGCGUGGGGAGCAAACAGGAUUAGAUACCCUGGUAGUCCACGCUGUAAACGAUGUCGAUUUGGAGGUUGUGCCCUUGACGGCGUGGCUUCCGGAGCUAACGCGUUAAAUCGACCGCCUGGGGAGUACGGCCGCAAGGUUA
rnacentral:rRNA from 1 species